rnacentral:lncRNA from 1 species
CGGAAGUGUUCCACAUCUUGAUCUGGGUGGCGGUUGCAUGGGCAUACACGUUGGUAAAAAUGCAUCAAGUUAUACAUGGAAGAAAGUUUCAAGAGUCUGAGAAUGCCUCCCUCCAUUCUCCCAUUCCAAAACAUGGUCAUAUUGGCCCAGCUAAUUUCCUCCUUGCAGCAGAGAUGACACAUCUGAGAGCAGAUAAAGGGAGGAGGGGCCCUCUUAGGCCCCACUGGCUGCCUGGUGAUAAGCAGUGACCUCAAAUUAAUAUAGGAUGUCACUGUUUACCAGCUCCAUUGCCUGUAUCCCCUUAUCCUCUCUGCAUCUGCAACCACGAAAGAGGGGUUGGGAUUGUUCCACAGCAGAGGAAAUGGAGGUUCUCGGAAGGACCUCGGGGAGGCCAUGCAAGGCUACUCGGCUUGGAGAGGACAUGACCUCGUGGGGAAGGGAGCAACCCGGGGAGGAAGCCGAGGGGGAGCCUUUGGACACACAGGCAGGGACAGGCGCCAGAGGGGGCACCUCCUGCAGUGUGCUGCCUCCACAUCAAUAAUUGCAUAAUGUGGAUACCAUUUAUGAUUGACAGUUCCAAAAACCAAACUCACUCACUACAGAUGAGCAAGGAAGAGCAAGAGCCAUUCAGAAGUGAGGAGGUAUGACGUACAAGGAACACAGGAUAUGUUUCAUGCUGUGAUGAAGUUUCACAAUAGACUUGGCAUAGAUUGAAACCCAAAGGGCUCUAUCAGAAGUGGCAAAUGUGGCACGCUCAGGCCAACACCCAUGCCAAUGAUUCCUAUAAAAUUCCCAUUGCCUGGUAGAAGUUCACAGGAGAGGAAAGUUCUUUCCUGCACCAGGUUCUAUGGAGAAUUGGUUGCAUGGUUUCUCGUGCUGUGGGCAUCAGGGACUUCAGGUGAAGGUAUUUAGCUGUGGCUUUGUGCAAACCUCAGAACUGUGUCCUCCAAGGGCCUGGGGUAUUUGGCAGGCGCUGUCUCUUGCUGCCUUUGCUGCUGUAUGACAGACAAAAUAGAAGCCACCUGGAGGCAACUUCCUCACCCAUCGACAAGCUCACCAGCCUUCAUGCCUGUCCUUUGGAGCUUCCCUGCAGACAGUGGCAGGAAACAACUUUUGGCUUCAUGAUCCUCUCUUUUGCCCCUCUGCUGCUGGCUCUGAGAAACUGGAUUUGCACCUGGGGGCCUGGAUAAGUCAUGAUCAUCUUCCUGUUCCUGUUAGACACAGACACUCUUUGGAGAUUUGAAGAUACCAGAAAAUGUCAUAACCUGGGGGAAUGACAGUGUGUGUGGGGUUUCCAGCACUAGGGCAGGCACGGUAGGAGAGGAAAUUGGGGAGUAGAGGGUCUGUUCUAAAUCCAUGACCUUCAGGAUGAUGAUGUUUUGAAGAGUCUGCUCUGAAAACUGAUUGUCGGUGCCCAGACACCAGGGACUCCGAGGAUUUCCUUCUCGUCAAAGGCUGGCCAGAACUGUCAGAAAGGAAUCAUCAGACAACUUCCAGGGGCUCCUGUAAAGCUCUUUAUGACAGGUUCAAUUGUGGCCUUCCUUCCCCAGGUGUCCAGCAACGACUCUUUCAACUGCAUCCUGACCUGGCUCUCUCCUGUCCUCCUAGCUCCUCAGUCAGUUACUUCCUUCCUGGCCCUGGGCUUCCCCAGGUCCUCAUGCUGUGCCUGUCCCACCCGCAGAGCCUUCCCACUAAAAAUCCCAAGAUAGGGAUUUUCCUCCCUGAUCAGGAGUGGGUUGGAGGGAGAUGCCAGAGUUCUUGGCACAAAGGAAAUUGGGGUUAUCCAUGGAUGUAUAUAGCAAAUGCUGUAUGAGGAGUGUAGAUUUUGCAGAUGGACUUGCUUUAAAACCAUCUUUAAGAUUAUUUGAGAGGCUAAAAUAAAAGACAGUGAAAAUACUAGUGUUAGCAAAGGUGUGGAGCAACCAGACCUCUCAUAUGUAGCUCAUAGGAGCAUACAGCUACGUUGGAAAACUACACAGGAAAACUGGCAGUGUCUACAAAAACUACACAGACCCCUACCUCAUGAUGCAGCAACUCCACUCCUGGGAGUACAUGCCCAGGACAUGAAUAUGUAUGUUCAAUAAAAACAUGUUCUAGAGAUGUUGAUAGCAGCAAUAUAUGCAAUAGUCCCAAACUGUAAAUGAUUGAAUGCAUAUUGAUAAGAGAACAAAUAAAUAACUUGUUGUAGGGUCAUACAGUGGAAUACAAUUCAGUAGUAAGAAAAGAACAAACUAGUAUUAUCAUGUUAUGGGCUGAAUCGUGUCCCUCUUCCAAAUUCAUACGUUAAAGCCCUAACUGCUAGUAUGUCAGAAUACAACUGUAUUUGGAGAUAGGGUCUUUAAAUAUGUAAUUAAAUUACAUGAGGUCAUUAGGGCAGGCACUAAUCCAGUAUGACUGGUAUCCUGCUAAGAAGAAGUGCUUAGGGCACAGACACACAAAGGGAAGACCAUGUGAAGAUACAGGG